rnacentral:misc_RNA from 1 species
GAUCAUUAGUGAAUUUGUAGGGCCUGCCAUACGGAUGCGCAAGCGUCUCUGGCGCCCAACCCACUAUACAUCCACAAACCCGUGUGCACUUGUGUUGCUUUGGCCUGUAUGGGCGAGCGCACGCAUUCAAACAAACUCGUAUGGUUGUAUGUACGUUGUAAACGUUGGACCGUCACUGGCCAACAAACUUUAUACAACUUUCGACAACGGAUCUCUUGGUUCUCCCAUCGAUGAAGAACGCAGCGAAACGCGAUAGGUAAUGUGAAUUGCAGAAUUCCGUGAAUCAUCGAAUCUUUGAACGCACCUUGCGCUCCAUGGUAUUCCGUGGAGCAUGCCUGUUUGAGUGCCGCGAAUUCUCCCACCCCAAACGGUUGCCGAAAGGUACUGUGCGGCGGAGGGGUUGGAUGGGUGCUACUGCCUGUGGUGGGGAAACUACAACAGGCUCGCCCGAAAUGCAUUAGCGCCUCAGGACACAUUCGCUACUGCUCUACAAAAGGAAGAGCAGCGAAGCGUAUGGGGGGGAAAACCACCACCGGUUAUUCCAAACCUCGCCUGACUGUUUUUGCGCGCAUGGCAUGAUACGUCAUUUGCUGUGUUGCGUAGGUUGGUGCGUGGGACUGUGUGAGUGCCUCUAGAGCUUUGAGAAGUGUGUUUCGUGUGCUACGAACUGAAAAAGUACAUUCCUUUUUUUUCAAUUCUGGUCUCAAAUCA